AGUGAACGCUGGCGGUAGGCCUAACACAUGCAAGUCGAACGGCAUCACAGUAAUAGCUUGCUCUUACGGGUGGCGAGUUGCGGACGGGUUAGUAAUACAUCGUAAUCUACUUUUUCUUUGGUGAUAACGUAGGUUAACUUACGCUAAUACCGCAUACGACCUACGGGUGAAAUCAUGGGAUCUUCGAACCUUUCGCGUUUGAAUUAGCCCAUGUCGGAUUAUCUAGUUGGCGUGGUAAAGGCCCACCAAGUCCACGAUCCGUAGCUUGUCUGAGAGGAUGAUCAGCCACACUGGAACUGAGACACGGUCAAGAGUACUAAGGGAGGCAGCAGUGGGGAAUAUUGGACAAUGGGCGGAAGCAUGAUGCAGCAAUACCGCGUGGGUGAAGAAGGAAUUCGGGUUGUAAAGCCCUUUUGUUGGGAAAGAAAAGCAGCAGGUUAAUAGCCGGCUGUACUGACGGUACCAAAAGAAUAAGCACCGGCUAACUUCGUG
rnacentral:rRNA from 1 species